UAAGCUUUAAGCUCUCUCAAAGCUCUCACUUUCAUUCAGAGCUCUCUCUCCCUCACAAUACUCUCAGAGAAAUACAAUAUCUGUUGGAAAUGUGCCCUAAAGCCAAUCAUAUGAUGAUACUUUACGGACAUUUCACAUGUUAAACUAAUCUAAGUUUAAUAUCAAGGGCAAAGAUUGUUGUUUGAGCCGUCUCAUAUAAAUGUUAUAUGCUUAUACGAUAAAGUCCAAGGAAUAUGUGAUUGGGAGAAUACGAUCUAAAGAAGUUAGAUUCAUGAGACCAUUCUUUCAUAAACAUAUCCUAAAUGUUCCUGAUCAUAGGAUUGCCAAUUAGGCAUUGACAGUCCGUUAAUAUCAGUACGUACUGUGUCUUCUCUCAGGGAGAGUGACUAGUCUCAAGUCAUUGGUGUGUGUGACAUCAAGUCAAGUACGUAGGUGCUCAAUAGAGAAUGAGUUCACUGAACACGAUC
rnacentral:lncRNA from 1 species